GAUGAAGAACGUAGCGAAAUGCGAUAAGUAGUGUGAAUUGCAGAAUUCAGUGAAUCAUCGAAUCUUUGAACGCACAUUGCGCCCCUUGGUAUUCCGAGGGGCAUGCCUGUUCGAGCGUCAUUAUAACCCCUCAAGCUCAGCUUGGUGUUGGGGCCUGCUGCACUGGCAGCCCUUAAAAUCAGUGGCGGCGCCAUCUGGCUCUAAGCGUAGUAAUUCUUCUCGCUAUGGAGUCCUGGUGGAUGCUUGCCAUCAACCCCAAAUUUUUCUAUGGUUGACCUCGGAUCAGGUAGGGAUACCCGCUGAACUUAAGCAUAUCAAUAAGCGGAGGA
rnacentral:misc_RNA from 1 species